rnacentral:rRNA from 1 species
CGGAGAGUUUGAUCCUGGCUCAGAACGAACGCUGGCGGCGUGGAUUAGGCAUGCAAGUCGAACGCGAAAGAGGGGGCAACUCCUCGAGUAGAGUGGCGAACGGGUGAGUAACGCGUGAGAAACCUGCCUUCGACAGGGGGAUAACACUCCCAACGGGGUGCUAAUACCGCAUGAGACCACGUGGCUGCAUGGCCCUGAGGUCAAAGGUGGCCUCUAUUUAUAAGCUACCGGUCGAAGAUGGUCUCGCGUCCCAUUAGCUAGUUGGCGGGGUAACGGCCCACCAAGGCGACGAUGGGUAGCUGGUCUGAGAGGAUGGUCAGCCACACUGGGACUGAGAUACGGCCCAGACUCCUACGGGAGGCAGCAGUCGAGAGGCUUCGGCAAUGGGGGAAACCCUGACCGAGCGACGCCGCGUGGAGGAUGAAGGCCCUUGGGUUGUAAACUCCUUUUGUUGGGGAAGAAGUGCGAUCAGGUGAACAAUCUGGUCGUUUGACGGUACCCGACGAAUAAGCUCCGGCUAACUCCGUGCCAGCAGCCGCGGUAACACGGGGGGAGCAAGCGUUGUUCGGAAUCACUGGGCGUAAAGGGCGUGUAGGCGGUCAGGUAAGUGGGAUGUGAAAUGCCCCGGCUCACCCGGGGACCUGCAUCCCAAACUGCUUGGCUUGAGUACGGGAGAGGAUGGAGGAAUUCCUGGUGUAGCGGUGAAAUGCGUAGAUAUCAGGAGGAACACCGGUGGCGAAGGCGUCCAUCUGGCCCGAUACUGACGCUGAGGCGCGAAAGCUAGGGGAGCGAACGGGAUUAGAUACCCCGGUAGUCCUAGCCGUAAACGGUGAGCACUAGGUGUUGGAGGCAUCGACCCCUCCAGUGCCGCAGCUAACGCAUUAAGUGCUCCGCCUGGGGAGUACGGCCGCAAGGUUGAAACUCAAAGGAAUUGACGGGGGCCCGCACAAGCGGUGGAGCAUGUGGUUUAAUUCGACGCAACGCGAAGAACCUUACCCAGGCUUGACAUGCACCGGACGGGUGUGGAAACACACCUUUCCUUCGGGACCGGUGCACAGGUGCUGCAUGGCUGUCGUCAGCUCGUGUCGUGAGAUGUUGGGUUAAGUCCCGCAACGAGCGCAACCCUUGUCCUUAGUUGCUAACGGAUAAUGCUGAGCACUCUAAGGAGACUGCCGGUGAUAAACCGGAGGAAGGUGGGGAUGACGUCAAGUCCUCAUGGCCCUUACGCCUGGGGCUACACACGUGCUACAAUGGCCGGUACAGAGGGUUCCGAAUCCGCGAGGUGGAGGCAAUCCCAAAAAACCGGUCUCAGUUCGGAUUGCAGUCUGCAACUCGACUGCAUGAAGUCGGAAUCGCUAGUAAUCGCUGAUCAGCAGGCAGCGGUGAAUACGUUCCCGGGCCUUGUACACACCGCCCGUCAAGCCACGAAAGUCGGCAGCACCCGAAGUCGCUGUGCUAACCGCAAGGAGGCAGGCGCCUAAGGUGAGGCCGGUGAUUGGGGCUAAGUCGUAACAAGGUAGCCGUACCGGAAGGUGCGGCUGGAUCACCUCCUUUCUA